AUGCGGAUGCAGUUAGCUAAAGCAAACCCUCAGAAGGUGGACCUUCCAGUUGUCAAGCUUGGGGAGCAUGAAGAUGUCACCGAGGAAGCCACAUGGAGCUCUUUGAAAAGGGCAGUAAGCCGCGUCUGUAAUUUGCAGGCACAUGAUGGACACUGGCCCGCGGAUUAUGGAGGACUUUUGUUCAUUUUGCCAGGCUUGAUUACAACAUUGUAUGUGACUGGAGCUCUGAACACUGUUUUAUCAUUGGAACAUAAGAAGGAGAUGCUCCGGUACAUCUAUAAUCAUCAGAAUGAAGACGGAGGGUGGGGAAUGCAUAUUGAGGGCCACAGUACCAUGAUUGGCUCAUCCUUGAACUAUGUUGCCUUGAGAUUGCUCGGGGAGGGCCCAAAUGGUGGGGAUGGAGCCAUAGAGAAAGGUCGGAACUGGAUUUUAGACCACGGAGGAGCCACAUUUGCACCAUCGUGGGGGAAGUUCUGGCUCUUGGUACUUGGAGCAUAUGAUUGGUCUGGUACUAACCCAGUGCCACCAGAAUUAUGGCUGUUACCAUAUCACCUGCCAUUUCACCCAGGUCGAUUUGCGUGCUAUAUCCGAAUGGUGUAUUUACCCAUGUCUUAUAUUUAUGGAAGGAAGUUUGGUGGCCCAGUCACACCAGUUAUACUGGAACUAAGAAAUGAACUCUACAGAGUGCCCUAUGAUGAGAUUAACUGGAACAAAGCUCGAACUGAAUGUGCCAAGGAAGAUAUGUACAAACCACAUUCAUCAUUCCACGAUAUACUCUCGUUCAUUAUCAACAAGUUUGUUGAACCAGUUUUGUCACGUUGGCCUUGGAGAAAACUGAGGGAGAAAGCUCUGGCUACUGUCAUGAGGCACAUUCACUACGAAGAUGAGUGCACUCGAUACAUCAACCUUGGUGCUGUACCCAAGCCGUUAAAUAUGCUUGCUUGCUGGAUUGAAGAUCCAAACUUAGAGGCAUUCAAAUGCCAUAUUCCACGAGUAUAUGAUUACAUAUGGAUUGCUGAAGAUGGCAUGAAGAUGCAGAUUUACGAUGGCAGCCAGGUCUGGGACGCAGGUUUCACAGUUGAGGCCCUUGUGGCUACUGACCUUGUCAAUGAGCUUGGACCAACUCUUGAAAGAGCGCACUCCUUCCUUAAGAAGUCACAGUUGCUUGAGGAUUGCCCCAGAGAUUUCAACCACUGGUAUCGCCAUAUUUGCAAAGGUGGUUGGACAUUUACUACAGCUGAUGAUGGUUGGCAAGUUUCAGAUUGCACUGCAACAGCAUUAAAGGCAUGUCUGUUGUUAUCAAAGAUUUCUCCUGAAAUCGUUGGAAAACCACUGGAAAUUUCUAGACAAUAUGAUGGUAUCAAUGUUCUGAUGUCUUUCAUGAAUAAUAAUGGCGGCAUUUCAUCAUUUGAACCUGUAAGGUCUUAUGCAUGGUUGGAGGAUUUUAAUCCUUCUGACUCAUUUGGGCGCGUUAUGAUUGAAUACUCGUAUGUCGAAUGUACAUCAUCAUCAAUUCAGUGUCUAGCAUUAUUCAGAGAGCUUAACCCUGGGCACCGCAAGGAAGAGGUGGAAAAUUGUAUCAGAAAAGGCGCUGAUUUCAUUGAGAUUUCUCAAAGAAGAGAUGGUUCAUGGUAUGGCUCGUGGGGAAUUUGUUUUACUUAUGCCACAUGGUUUGCAGUGGAAGGAUUAGUUUCUGUUGGUAGGACAUUCAAGAAUAGCGCUGCGAUCAGAAAGGCUUGUGAAUUUCUCUUGUCAAAAGAGCUUCCUUCGGGUGGCUGGGGAGAGAGCUAUCUGUCAAGUCAUGACGAGGUUUACACAAAUCUAAAAGGCAACCGACCUCAUGGUACACACACUGCCUGGGCCAUGCUAACACUAAUUGAUGCAGGGCAGGCCGAACGAGAUCCAAUGCCUCUACAUCGAGCAGCUAAGGUUUUGCUCAAUUUACAAUUAGAUGAUGGAGAAUUUCCACAGCAGGAGAUCAUUGGAGUUUUUCUCCAAACUGCCAUGGCCAGUUACUCCCAGCACAGGAAUGUCUUCCCUAUCUGGGCUCUCACAGAAUACCGUCGUCGAGUAUUGCUUGCAGUGACGAAGAUGGCCGCGGCGGCGUUCAUUCUCCGGCCGGAUCACACCGGAUUCUGGCGGGAAUGGUUCGAAGGCGACCAAAUCCACGCAUGGGGAGGCGAGGCAGGCACUUGA
rnacentral:rRNA from 1 species